UACGGGGGGGGCAAGCGUUGUUCGGAAUUACUGGGCGUAAAGGGUGCGUAGGUGGCGGGGUAAGUCUGGUGUGAAAUCUCGGGGCUCAACCCCGAAACUGCACUGGAUACUGCCUUGCUUGAGUACUGGAGAGGAGAUUGGAAUUUACGGUGUAGCAGUGAAAUGCGUAGAUAUCGUAAGGAAGACCAGUGGCGAAGGCGAAUCUCUGGACAGUUACUGACACUGAGGCACGAAGGCCAGGGGAGCAAACGGG
rnacentral:rRNA from 1 species